CGGGCCGGGGAGGGGACGUGCGAGGGGGCUCAGGCCUUGGUAGUUCUCGGCCGUUUCCGGCUCGGCCCGGCCCGUCCCAGCGCUUUCCGGCCAGGCUCGGCCGGGGCCGCCCGGGGGCGGGGCUGGCGGCGGAGAUCCGAGCGUGGCCCGGCCGCCAUGGCGCCCCCGUCCCGCAGGCUGCAGACGAAGCCGGUGAUCACCUGCCUCAAGAGCGUCCUGCUCACCUACAGCUUCGUGUUCUGGAUCUCUGGCAUUAUCCUCCUGGCAGUUGGCAUCUGGGGCAAGGUGGGCCUAGAGGUGUAUUUCUCCCUGUUAAAUGAGAAGGCCACCAAUGUCCCCUACGUACUCAUUGGCACAGGUACUGUUGUCAUCCUUCUGGGCACUUUUGGCUGUUUCGCCACCUGCCGGGGAAGCACAUGGAUGUUAAAACUGUAUGCCAUGUUCUUGUCUCUCAUCUUCUUGAUUGUGCUGGUGGCUGCUGUUGUAGGAUUUGUGUUCAGACAUGAGAUUAAGAACAACUUUCAGAGCAACUAUAGUCUUGCUCUGAGGAACUACAAUGCAACAAUAGAUCCCCAGAGCGACGCGGUGGAUACCAUCCAGAGAACUUUACACUGCUGUGGAGUCCAGAACUAUUUUGACUGGGUGAACACUACCUACUUUGCACAGAAGGGAAUCCCUCUGAGCUGCUGCAAGUUCCAAAACUGCACAGAAAGUGAUCUGAAGGAGCUGGAUAAAGCCAAGGCUAUGGUGUAUGGCAAUGGUUGUUUCAGUCUGGUAACAACAGUUAUGGAGUCCAAAAUGGGCAUUGUGGCUGGUAUCUCCUUUGGCAUCGCUUGCUUCCAGGCACAGCAUAUUUCAGAGAGGAGGAAGUGGUCGACCGUUCUGCAGAUUCUCCUGCCAUUUUGCUUAAGUGCCACCCAGUCACCCAUCUCCGAAACUGGGGUUGAAAAUGCCAGCUUCCUCCCAGCAAGCCUGCGUAUGGCUUGAGAACAGCUCACUCUGGAAACGGCCAACUUCUAAGAGAUGCCAGUGCAACCAAACCUCUCUUGUUCUGAUGCAGUGUUAGCUGUCUGAAUUACUGCUUCCAGCUCACAAACUGUCACCCUUGCUUCCGCUGCCCUUUCAGGAUGAUAGUUUAACUAACUUAAAGUGCUUGUAGGUGACCUAAAACAGCCUGAAAUGCCUCUCUCAAAUUCAGACCCAGUUAAUACAAUGACACCAUCUUCUGUUAGCCACACUGCAGAACAGCGUGCAUAAUAUUACAGACUCCCUCUUCUCCCCUUGCUGUUUCUUCCUCUCCCUCUGAUUCUUCAACCUGAGGUUUUAUCCUGGUGGUGAAGAAGCAUCAUGUCUCAAGCAGCAACGGAACUAGUGUCUCCUAAUCUGACCAACCUUGUCUCAGUAGGAAGCAAGAGGCCUCUGGCCUGAGCUCCUUGUGUGCAUGGGGAACAUUUUGAAGUGGGCUUUCAGAAGAGCUCCCUACAUUGGGUGCAUGUUGAGUGCUGAGCAGUUGUGAAAAUGUGAUCAUAAGUGUCCCAGUGGGAGUUGCUUGGUGCUGAGAACUCUUGCAAAUCUGGCCCAUAUUUAGUUGAGCUGCUUGGAAAAUUUGACCUCAAUUCUGGUUCCUGAGCACUUGAAAGCCUGCCUAGUGGGCUAAGGUUAGCAGGUUUUGCCUUCAUAUAGGGUCUCUCUGGCUGAUGGAGCUUCCUGACACGUUUGGUUCAGUCUCUGUCAUCUGAGAAGGUGAUCAAAAUGGUGUCCCUUAGCAUGUGUUUCUUUCAUGGCUUUAUCACAUGGGCAUGUGCUCUCACCAUCUCUGUAGGGUCAUCUUUCACUCUUGUGUGUGUCAGAGUAUUACGUCUUAGGGAGAAUUUAAAAGAUAGCUGGUGCAGAUCUUCCUUAUCCACGGGCUCUCCCAGAAUGCUGAUACUGCGACAGCACAUCAGUGUGUAUUGGUACGUAACAGGGCAGAUAUCUGAACAAGUUUCUGUGUGCAUAGUAUGUCAAGUAAGAUCAUCUACUGUACUGCCUAGGUCUUGCUGAGUGCCUCAGUUGUGGUCUGAGCCCUUAGUCUUUCUGCUGCAGCUGCUAGGUUUGCUGAAAUCGCCUGUGUUCUGUGAUGUUUGGCUGUGAUUGUUUCUAGGAAUUCGAACACCUUGCAGUCGGCAAGGAAGGUGGCAACAGAGACAAAGACACAGAUGAACUACGCCUCAUUACUUGACUUGACUCUUGUUUCGAGGCGACUUCCAUUCUUUCUGAAAUUCUCGAACACAGAGUCACAGAUCUCUGUAUCAAUUCCAAAUGGCAGAACUCCUUAUUUUCUUUAAAGCGUGUUUGCUUUUGAGUAAAGAGUAUGAAGAAACAGCAGCUUGAGAUUGAGGCAAAGGAGUACACAGACUCAAAACCAGAGAAGAGACUGGCAGAGUGAGAUUGUGUAUUGAUUGCUUGAUUUAUUUUAGCUUUAAUUUACUCUUCAUUGAAGGAAAUUGCCUGAAAGCUGCCUGUGAGGUACACAGGCACAUCUUGUCCGAGUCAAGGUUUAACAUGUAAUAGCACAAGCACAGAGAGAAGAAUCUCGGCCAGCCUGUUUUAUUCUGAUAUUCGUUUGUCACUGUGCUGUUCCCUGUAACAGACACACACAGCAAGGACUGGGAGAGGUUGGAGCACAGACCUUUAUCUUGCAGCUGGUACAUUUGCAAACUGUCUUCAUUGCAUUUUGUUGUCAGUUUCCUAGGGCUGGAGCCAGUUGGUCUCUUUCAGCUGCUAUCCAUUUCCUCCCUCCUUCCUGGGAUGUACAUAUCACACUCUACUUAUUACAGCUUCCACAUCUAUAUUCCAAACAGGACAUCUGGAGUUUGAUGAAUAAGUAGGUGGGCCCAUGUGCCUUCGUCAGCUCUAGGCAGGUAACCGCAUUGUAGCGGUUGCAGUUAUUGAGGAACGUGUCAUUGUUUGGGGCUUAGAAUCAUAUAAACAUUUCAUGAUUUAUUCUCAAGUGAACUUUGUUGUGUCACGCAAGUGAAAGGCCCAAUUCUGCAACUUUGCCUCCUGUGAGUCCAGUUACAUGCAUGAGUGCUUUUAGGAUCAGGUCCUAAAUGCCUUUGGUACAGAAAACAGCUGCCUGGAGCCCACACAACAGUCAUAACUGAUGUGUGUCCUUCAGUGUUUUCACAUCAGAAACACACCAACCUUGAUUCCAUCAUUGUCCUUGCAGUGGGGAGAGGCAGUUGAUAUUUUCUACUGGUUGUGUAAUGGGCUGUGAUGCUCCUGAGAGCCAUAUAAUCUCUGUGAAAUUACCAUAAAACAGUAGAUGGUUCAUAAAGCAAAUUCUAACAAGAAGCAACGUUCUCUUUCUCUCACAGGGAGAGCCUUCUCAUUGAUGGCUGCCAGGAUCCUCUGACGCUCAGCUUUAUCCACGCUAAAGCAAAGGAGCCCAGAUUUUGCUUUUACAAAAUCAAAACAGUCUCCAGUGCUUCAGAUCUCGGUUGCAUUGUAUCCAAAUCAUUACAGUUUGGAUGUCCGGUUUUGGGUGACCUAUACUUAGUUUAUUUUUUCACAUUUCAGUUGGUUGGGAUCUUUCUCGCCUGCUGCCUUUCCCGGUACAUCACAAACAAUCAGUACGAGAUGGUGUAACAAGCCAGCCUUUGACUAAGGAAAUUUCCUCUGAUCUCCCUCCUUUGGAGAGCACUUCAUGACCUCCAGUUUUCACCUGGUCCCAGCCUGCUGAAAUCAUGUUUGAACUGACUGAUCCUCUUCAGAAUCAGCGCACGGAAUAGAGUGUACCAGCUGUUCUGUCGCAGUCAGGGAAUUGUCAAAACACUACUCUUUUGUAACACUGAAUGGGGUAAUUAGUGUACCCAAGGUAGUUAUAAUAACUACAUUCCUCCAGGCCCCCACCUCCUCAGUUUGAUUGCACAAUGAAGUAGCAUGAUAUGACAGUACUCUUAUGUCAUUCUUAUACUUUCUGCUAGUUAUUUAACUGGAAUGCACCAUUAAUUUUGGAGGUGUAUAGUAUGCAUUAGGAACGAAGCACUCAUUGCAUUCUCUUCUGCCUUUGGUCAUUUAAAUUAUAUUAUUCACUUCACACUCUGUCAGUGAUCCAUUGAAACACCUACUGUUGCAACUGGCUGGUCCUAUCAUGUUAUGCAGAUGCAUUGCCAUGUCUGUCUGAGGCUCUGUGUUCAAUAGCAUCUGUUUCCAGGCUCUCUUCCCAAUCAAGGGUUUUAUAUCACUUUUUUUAUAAUUGUAUUUUUUAAAGGGCCUCGUUCCUGUCUCCUGAUCAGGUUGUAGUGAUUUUCAUAAGUUGUAGCAUGAGGUUCGGUGGUGUAGCUGUCUGUGUCGAUAGCUUUGUAGGUAUGCCUCCACCAAGUUGGGCAUGAUUUCAUCAUCAGUAUUAUGUUCUGCCUUAACUUGUUUUUUUUGUAUUAAAUAGAAAUCCUCUUGUCUUGAAACACAAUAAAUAUUAAAUAUUUUACUCUAAAA